AGUGAACGCUGGCGGUAGGCCUAACACAUGCAAGUCGAACGGCAGCACAGGAGAGCUUGCUCUCUAGGUGGCGAGUGGCGGACGGGUGAGGAAUACAUCGGAAUCUGCCCAGUCGUGGGGGAUAACGUAGGGAAACUUACGCUAAUACCGCAUACGACCUUCGGGUGAAAGAGGGGGAUCGCAAGACCUCUCGCGAUUGGAUGAGCCGAUGUCGGAUUAGCUAGUUAGCGGGGUAAUGGCCCACCAAGGCAACGAUCCGUAGCUGGUCUGAGAGGAUGAUCAGCCACACUGGAACUGAGACACGGUCCAGACUCCUACGGGAGGCAGCAGUGGGGAAUAUUGGACAAUGGGCGCAAGCCUGAUCCAGCCAUACCGCGUGGGUGAAGAAGGCCUUCGGGUUGUAAAGCCCUUUUGUUGGGAAAGAAAUCUUUCAGGCUAAUACCCUGGGAGGAUGACGGUACCCAAAGAAUAAGCACCGGCUAACUUCGUG
rnacentral:rRNA from 1 species